UACAGAGGUGGCAAGCGUUGUUCGGAAUUACUGGGCGUAAAGGGCGUGUAGGCGGCCGCCUAAGUCAGACGUGAAAUCCCCAGGCUUAACCUGGGAACUGCGUCUGAUACUGGGUGGCUUGAGUUCGGGAGAGGAAUGUGGAAUUCCAGGUGUAGCGGUGAAAUGCGUAGAUAUCUGGAGGAACACCGGUGGCGAAGGCGGCAUUCUGGACCGAAACUGACGCUGCAGCGCGAAAGCCAGGGGAGCAAACGGG
rnacentral:rRNA from 1 species